CCAACGGCUCUUUUAAGAGCCACCCACAUCUAUCUCAAAAGCAAA
rfam:Xiphophorus maculatus strain JP 163 A Contig433.15, whole genome shotgun sequence.